AACGAACGCUGGCGGCAUGCCUUACACAUGCAAGUCGAACGGCAGCACGGGAGCAAUCCUGGUGGCGAGUGGCGAACGGGUGAGUAAGGUAUCGGAACGUGCCCAGUCGUGGGGGAUAACGUAGCGAAAGUUACGCUAAUACCGCAUACGAUCUAUGGAUGAAAGCGGGGGAUCGCAAGACCUCGCGCGAUUGGAGCGGCCGAUAUCAGAUUAGGUAGUUGGUGGGGUAAAGGCUCACCAAGCCGACGAUCUGUAGCUGGUCUGAGAGGACGACCAGCCACACUGGGACUGAGACACGGCCCAGACUCCUACGGGAGGCAGCAGUGGGGAAUUUUGGACAAUGGGCGAAAGCCUGAUCCAGCCAUGCCGCGUGCAGGAUGAAGGCCUUCGGGUUGUAAACUGCUUUUGUACGGAACGAAAAGGUUUGGCCUAAUAAGCUGAGCUCAUGACGGUACCGUAAGAAUAAGCACCGGCUAACUACGUGCCAGCAGCCGCGGUAA
rnacentral:rRNA from 1 species